GACGUGAAAAGAGACUGCGGUUGCUCUCGCUCCCGCUUGAAUGCACUGCCAGCAGGAGCCAGAGCGCGCAGCAAAAUUUGAACACGAAAUAAUAGCAAGAGGAGUGAAAAGUGACGAACACGAUCCGCACCACACCCAUGACUCCGCCGAGCGAAGAAGCAGCAAUGGCGCGGAUGCAUACGCUCCAGACUUGACAGUGGAGCCUCUUGUUCUUCCCGGCGGCAUGAUCAUAGAACUCAAGCCAAGUUUCUGGACUUGAAGACACACUGUUGAAGCUGAAGAGCUUUUGAAAUGAGGCCCCCUGUUCUGUCAAAGUCCGCGAUCCUGAGUCUUUUCGACGCACUGGUUCAAGAAAUUGGUCUUGUAUGGUCGCUAAAUGCAAGUUAACUUUCACGCCACCUG